AGAUAAGAUAAACUAGAAAAAUUUGCAUUUAUUGCACAAAUGCUGUUUGAAUGCUGGAUAGCUGAAACUGUAAGCUGAAGCUGCUGAACUAGCUGAAACUAAGCAAAACUGUCAAAAUGAGCUGAAUGUAUUGAAAGAUGUUGAAGCAAAAAGUAAGUGAACAAUGGAGAAAAAUCAUCCUAAAUAGCAAAAAACUGAAAUCUGUGAACAUUGUAUAAAAACUGGACAGCUAAAAUGUCUAAACACCUGUUAUUUCAGUAGGACUAUUUUAACAGUUUAAUUUUUACAUUUACCUGAAAUGUGAAAUUAGCAUCAUAUGCUGAAUUCAGAAACUAAUUGCUGAAGCUGCUGAAUAGCUCAAGUGAAGCUGAACUAAGCAAAACUGUUAAAAUGAGCUGAAUGUUUUGAAAGAUUUAGAAGCAAAAAGCACCAAAAUGUAAAUAAAACACAAAAAGUGAAGAACGGAGAAAACAAUCCUAAACAGCAGAAAACUGAAAUCUGAACAUUAUUUAAAAAUCUGGACAGCAAAAACGUCUAAACACUUGUUGUUUGAGUAGGACUAGUUUAACAGUUUAAUUUUUAUAUUUAGUUGAACUGUGAAAUGAGCAGCAUAAGCCAAAUUCAGAAACGGAUUGCUGAAUAGCUGAAGUGAAGCUGAAACUAAGCUAAACUGUCAAAAUGAGCUGAAUGAAUUUAAAGAUUUAGAAGCAAAAAUCACCAACAAGUGUAAUAAAGCUCAGAAUAUAGGUGAAGAAUGGACAAAAAUGCCAAACAGCAGAACACUUUAAUCUUUGAACAUUGAUUAAAAACUCAAAAUUUGAAAUGUUAAACAGCUGGCAUUUGAAUGAGAAUAGUUUAACGGGUACAUUUUUACAUUUGGCUGAACUGUGAAUUUAGAAAUAUCUGCUGAUAUCUGAAACUGAUAGAUUAAUAUUAGGGGUGGGCCGUUAUCAGCGUGCUGCGGCAAAGCCAGACUCUUAUCGCGCGAUAAAAAAAAAUGACGCCGUUAAUAUAUUGUAGUGACCCCGGGCGUCUCAGCGGCAGUCCCCAACUCAACCAGCAGGAGGCAGUAGUGGUUCUCACACCAGACCUUUAUUAGGCUUGUUCUUCAACCCUUUGUAACACUACAGACACAGAACUUCUAUCACGCUCCUACCACACAGAGUCACGGUGUCAGUUAUCCAUGCUAAUUCAACCCGCUCCACAGAACACACAUCACCUUCCCUGUGGCUUACAUUAACAUAACACUCAAAUCAACACAUAGAAACUAGCAGAGGGAUAGGAAACCAAGCCCCCACAAUGCCGCUCUAAAAAUGGUCCCAUCCCGGAAGUAAGAAAAAUUGCAGUUCCACCCUCAUCCGCUGGGGGCUUGUGCCAGAAGCGAGCAAAUCCUCAUUGACUCCCAUGUUAAAAAUGCCGAUUUCACAGCAGAAAUAAACAUGUUUACAGCCUGGUACCAAAACAUGUUUUUUGUCUAAAUUAUCUAGUUUAUACUCAUGACAACUCUGAGGGGGGUGAAUUUUUUUCUCACUCUUCUGUUUAAGUGUAUUGAAAGCCUAAAAUUCUGUAUAAUUAAUGAGCAUCCGACACACGUGACCGCCGCCUCAGACCCACGUGACCACAGAGCUAGCUCCGUUGAAAGGCCUCAGUAGAGCCUCGGUCUGGCUUGGAAACUGCUCCGGCAUUUUGAGUCUCUGUGUUUGUGUAUUCUUCUUUGGAUAUUAUUGGUGCAAUUGUUGGACAAAAUGACUUGCAGUGGUAUUAAUUGCACUAAUAGAGCGUCCAAGGAGUCCCCACUUCAUUUUUUUCGGGAAGGACCUGAUUGGUGUCCAGAACCUGCUGAAGAAGCACCAGGCUCUGCAGGCUGAGAUCACAGGUCAUGAACCUCGCAUCAAGGCUGUCACCCAGAAAGGAGAGACCAUGGUGGAAGAAGGUCACUUCGCUGGUGAGGAAGUGAAGACUAAACUGUGGGAGCUUCAUGGACGUUGGGACACGCUGAAGGCCAAGGCGUCCCAGAGGAGGCAGGACCUGGAGGACUCUCUGCAGGCCCAGCAGUACUUUGCGGAUGCUAAUGAGGCCGAGUCCUGGAUGAGGGAGAAGGAGCCCAUCGUUGGAAGUCCAGACUAAGGGAAAGACGAGGACUUGGCCGAGGCUCUCCUGAAGAAGCACGAGGCCCUGAUGUCGGACCUGUCGGCUUACGGCAGCAGCAUCCAGGCCCUGAAGGAGCAGGCCCAGUCCUGCAGGGUGAGUUCAGAACCCUCGGCCCGUCAGAACAUUCUUAUCCACCACGUUCUAACACCAGACCUGUUAACCCGACAGCAACAAGGUAAUCAGCAGGUGCUUUUGUCCUGCAGGACCUGAAGGCCAACGAGUCCCGCCUGAGGGACAUCAACAAGGUGGCAUCUGAACUGGAGUCAGAAGGUCUGAUGGCUGAGGAGGCUCCUAUGGUUCAGGCUCAGGUGAGCGUCACCUGUCUGCAGCAGCUGGUCCCUCUCACUUCCUGGUUUAACUCUGCUCGUCUCUGUUUGUAGCAACAAGAACAUCUGGGUUCUGCUCCUGGAAAGGAUGAAGCCGACUCUAACACGGCGUCACCCUGGAAGGUGAGUUCAUUCAGCUGAUCAGAGGUCACCUCUGAUGGCCGCAGUCACGGCCGACCGUGCUGACAUCACACAGGAAUUCAGGUGACCCGGCAGGCACCAGGUGCUGGUGAAAGUGGGGACAUGUCAGCUGGUUGCCAUGGCUACAGUUAUCUUUAUGCAUCUGUAUGACUGCUGACUGGUGUGUGUUUCCUGUGACCUUUGACCUCAGACCGUACGGUUGGGCGUUCAGACGACGGCUAACUUUAAUUCCAUCAAGGUAAGAGGAAGCUCUUCCCUUCCUGUCUGAGCGAUCCGUCUCCAGGUUUCUUCGUCCGGCGUCCAGCCCGCUGGCGUCCACCUUCAUCUCACCUUCAUCUCAUCUCACUUCAUUUAUAGUGCAGUACUUUCACAUUAUCAUUUUCCCACACUUCUGUAUACCUGUAUUUUGUUGUUUUUCAAUAAAGAAUGACAAAUUAUUUAAGUUUGGUUUUUGUUGCACACAAAUAUAUAUCUGUAAAAAAUAUCUAUAAAGCUAAUGUUUACAUAACAAGUAUGAUUGGGUUUUGCAAUACGGCACUCAAGUUUAUUUUAGUAAGAUUUUAAAACCAAGUAAAGUUAGUAAAGAACACAUUUCUAUUGUCUGCUAAGAAACUGUUGGGAUUUAAAAUGGGCCUGUUGUACAAAUAACUUGUAAAUGAUUAUUCCUCACUUUUGUCUUAACCAAAGAAAUUCCAGUAAUUGAGCAAAAACAUUUAUUUUUAACACUACAUUUUAUAAAACAGGGCACAAAGUGUCGGCACAUGUAUGUAUGUCGAUGGUCCACCCCAACCGAACCAGGAGACACAGACGUCAGGGAGGCCAAGGUUGUCUCUGCAGCUCUCUGGGCACCACGCCUCACUCAGCUGUCUCCAAUGAUCCAAAUGGCUAUGGAGAAAAAAUAACAGGUUUGGUCUAGCUGUUUAAAGUACAAAACCAUUCAUGAAGUGGUCAAGACAAGUACUUGGUACUUACACUUGCUGCGUUGUGUAGCUGACGUUGACACACAGGCUGCCAUGGUGACCUUUUAACAGAUCUAAGAAAAAAAUGUAAUAAAAGAAUGAAACUUAAAAACUCCCAGACCUCAUGUCACAUUUACUAAUCAGCUAUGGCUGAUUUGUUUUUUUAUCACAGUGAGUUACACUAAUUCUAAUAUAUUUUUAUUUCUAUUAUACAUACAUACUUUUUAACUGUUAUUUUCACAUGACUGUUAUCAGGCUCUCUUGUUCUGGUUCUCAUGAUAACUCUGUGUCUUCCAGUAAGUUAUCUUGUGCUUACUUCAUCUGUAUAAUGUCUCUUUACUUUUGGUAAAUUGUACUGAGUCCAGAAUAAAGGCUAGUUGGCUCUACAAGAUACAAACAAGUAUUACGUUUUUGAAAUAUAUGAAACACCGCCAGCAUCUGUUAGAGCCUGUGGCGGGGUGCUGAGGGCCGGCUCCAGCCCAGGAAUGAGCUCUCCUCGCCGGCCGGGAGGGUUUGAAACACCGCCAUCCUCUCCUCUGCUGGCUGUUCAUUCUGUUAUGGUUACCGGUGCUUGUGUUGCAAUGUGAAACGCUUGGUCUCAGAUUUUGUAAGAAAGAUAAUAAAAUGUCCCCCAAAAUACGACUUAAAUAUAUUUUCUCUUCUUCAUGAUACAUUUAAUGGCUGGUGCGACUCAGGAGUGAUAGCGCCGAAAAAAACGGUACUGAAAACUUGCUCAAAGCAAAAUGUAUUCAUUACGGAAAUAAAUUAUAAACUUACCGAUUUAAAACUUUUUAAAUACAGGUACUUCUCACGAACAGGCGCAGAAAACCUCCACCUAAACUCCGUGUUAGGUUCAGGUCGAUGGGUGUUCCAGUUAGCUCCGGUUGGGUUGAAGCUAGGUGGCUACAUCCGUUAGCUCGGCUCCCACCUCCGCUUUAGCUUUGGGUUAGCCAGGGUUAGCUUCAGGUUAGCUCGUAGCUAGUUCGCCUGGGUGUCGUCACUCGAGCCCAGCCUUACAGCCACACCCUCAGCACCUCCUCUCUUCCCUUUUAUGGAAUUGUCUGGGCUGGACGGAACCUGUGACACGGUCAAAAUGGCGGUGGUGGCCACCUCCCAUUAUAGACAACAAACGUGUUAUUGAAGCCAUUGGAAUCCGUUUGUCCAGUAUGUACAGUCUAUGUAGGAAACACAUAUAACACAAUACCCAGAAUGCACCUGGCUUACAACCCCAGCCAGGUCAUUACACUAUUCUCAAAGUUGGGUUGGGAUCUGGGUCGUCUAUACUAAGCUUGAUGACUAUCACAUUGCGCGGAUGGAUACCUGGUUGGCGCGGAUGUAUACUCGGCGCGGAUCAUAGACAUAUAACGCACGGAUGUCUACGUGCGAAAGAGAACAUCUUUAACGCCAGAGGAAUCUUCAAACGUGACGCUCUGAAGAAUGCUACUGACUGUAAAUAGUUAAUCAUGGCCUAUUCUGUAGACCUACAGUGCAGAAUUUGUUGAACUGAAUAAACAGCUAUUAAACACAAACACUUAUUGAUCAUUAUUUAUUUUCAUCAUGAGUUAUCGUAGUAAAACUGCUUUAUCAGUCUGUGAUGCAUUUUUGAAACAAGAAAUACGGCUCCAUUCUCAAAGACUUGCCUUUAUUCAUUAUCUAGGUAGCACACAAAUAUGUCUUUGGCAGAAUUUGAAUGAGCCAUUUUAAUCUAGAUUAAUUCCAAGAUUACAGUGAGAUUAAUCUAGAUUUAAAAAAUUAAUCUAUGCCCACCACUAAUUAAUAUAUGAUCAGACUUGAUAUGGGAUGGAUGAAUGGUUGGAUGAAUGAAAUAACGGAUGGAUUGUUGGAUGGCUGUUAGAUGGUUUAUUGGAUGGAUGGAUGGAUGGAUGGAUGGAUUAACAGAAGCGUGUAUGGAUUAUAUGUGGAUGGAUGAUUCCUUAGGCCAAGCGAUCGAUUUGAUGUCUCACAUGUGUGGGUGUGUAAUUCCAUUUAGCCAGAAGAUGAUUGACCUCUCUCAACCAAUCAGGGAGCGGGGCACUUUCCCACCUUCUGACAGUCAAUCAAAUUUAACUUGUUUCUAGUUUUAAGUACAAACAGUUCAAAAAGAUCAAAAACAGGAGUCUGUUAUUGGCUCAAUAUUCAGCUUUUUAUAUUCAUUCCUGUGAGACUUGGUUGAAGUGAUUUGUAGUUCCCAUCGACAUAUAAAUAUUGGACAAUGGGUUUCCACAGACUCCAAAAACAUGUUUUUGUGCCAAAAUGGGAGGUGGCCACCACCGCCAUUUUGACCGUGUCACAGGUUCUGUCAAGCCCACACAAUUCCACAAAAGGGAAGAGAGGUGGAGCUAAGGGUGGGGCUUGAAGGCUGGGAUCAACUGACGACACCCGGUCGAACUAGCUACAAGCUAACCUGAAGCUAACCCAAAGCUAAUAUGGAGGUGGGAGCUAAGCUAACGGAGGUAGCAACCUAGCUACAACCAGAGUUAACUGUGCACAACAGCAGAUUUUCUGAGUCAGAGAUGCGCGGGGCUGACCGCUGGGUAAAACCAGGUGGAACACAGAGGUCUCCCGAAAGCUGCUGAAAGCCGGCAGCCCACGCAGCAGACAGAAGCCGCGAUCAGACAGAGAUGCGCAGAGCUGCGGGGAGGGGAGAACCACAAGCCGGCAGCCCGCGCAGCAGACAGAAGCCGCGAUCAGACAGAGAUGCACCGAGCUGCAGGGAGGGGAGAACCACAAGCCGGCCGGCAGCCCGCGCAGCAGACAGAAGCCACGAUCAGAGAUGCGCCGAGCUGCGGGGAAGAGAGAAACGGGUGGAAAACAUCGGUCUCCCGAGAGCUCCACAAGCCGAUAGUCAGAACUCAGCUCCACCAACAUGUUAUAUUUCAACCCAUUUUCUAAAGUGCAGCAUUGUGUUAAAUGCAGUGGUGGGCAGUCAGGGCCAGCAAAGCCUUCUCUGCUGGCCUAAACUUACUCAAAAACAUUAGUGUAUUUUUUUUCCUUUGGUAAAUAUUUUUUCAAUAAAAAUAUGUUCACUGGUCAAUUUUCUUUUUAUCCUAUUAUACCCACUUGGUUGCGCUGCUUCCAGUGUUGAAAUACCAAGGCUGGGUGUUAUCCAAUCAGAUUUAAGCUAGCUUGUGUUUUCAGGCAGAUUAAGUCUGCUCUAGGCCUUCAGAAUCAAUCGAGAAGCCCACUGUCCGCUGUAAGUGAACAGAGACGAGCCAGUUGCGAUAGCCAAUCAGCUCACGAGUCAGCUUGGCCCGGGCCAGCUAGCUGGCCUCACGCAAAAGUUGACAUGAACGCAUCCUGUGAUUGGAUGAGCAGUAGUUUGAACUUUUCUAGCGGCAUUAAGCAAAAAUAUCAAAACUAAACACAGAGAUUUGUAUCUACAGGCAGCUAUCGGUGUAUUUUUGAACACAUGAUAGCUGAAAGAGGAGAAGAGACGGACUUGGUGGCAGAUUUACUUGCCACACCAUUUUCAAGACGGACCUUUCAAGAAAAAAUGGAUAUUGUGAGAACAGGUCGUCUGACUCCAAUGCUAGCUGGCUUGUCCCAGCAGGGGAAAGAAUUUUUUCGUCAUUUUCAGGCAAGCAACUAUGAACGGUACCCAUGGCUAACAGCUUCAGAGAACCGCUGCAGGUUAUUCUGCUGGGAACGCCUGUUGGUCGCAUCAGAUCGAUUUGGUAUUUGGAGUUUUACUGGAUUUGCCAGUUUAAGUUGUUUCACCAAGGCAGCAAAGAGACACCAAAGCACGGCUGACCACUUACAAGCUACGGUGCUUUUAGAAACCUUUGGGGACACCCGAGUGGAUCUGCAGCUCAGUGAACAGGCGCGCAGGGACACGGAGCUCCACAACGAAAAGGUGAAGAACACUAGGGAGAUAUUGAAAAGGCUGAUGGAUUGUGUCAUGUUUUUGGGUAAACAGGGACUUUCCUUUAGGGGACAUGAUGAAAACCCCCAGUCAUUAAAUAGAGGUGCAGAUUCUAUCUUUUCUUGCUGAACAUGACGCCGACUUGCAUUACCACCGGACCACCAACAGGGUCUUUACUGGGACAUCCGGCAGAAUACAAAAUGACCUCAUUCAUGCUGUUGCUGAAGUGAUGGGAGAUGAGAUCAGAAUGGAGAUCAGAAGAGCCCCUUUUGUCGCCGUCAUGGUUGAUGAAACCACAGACGUGGGUAACGUGGCACAGCUGGCACUCGUCCUGCGCUACGUGACAGCCACAGGUGUCCAGGAGCGUUUUGUCAAAUUUGUGGAUGUAACGAGUGGCAGGCGAGCUGAUGACCUUGCCGCGCUUAUUUUCCGUAUUCUUGAGGAAUAUGAAUGCUGUUUGGACAAAGUUGUUGCACAGUGUUACGAUGGUGCAGCGGCGAUGGCAUCUGGACUAAACGGGGUGCAGGCUACAGUUAAGGAAAAGGCUCCUAUGGCCUUAUUCAUUCACUGGUAUGCACAUCGUCUUAAUUUAGUGCUGACUCAAGGGGCCUCAAAGCUUAAAGAGUGCAAGGUCUUUGUUGCCAAUCUGAAUGGCCUCGCUGCGUUUUUCUCCAGAUCCCCGAAGCGCACACAGUUGCUGGAUGAUGUGUGCAAACGGCGUCUUCCUCGUGUCGCGCCAACACGGUGGCAAUAUUCAUCAAGACUGGUGAAUGCAGUCUUUGAGAAGGGAGUUGCUCUAAAGGAGAUGUUUGGUCACAUACUGGACCACCACGACGAGUAUGAUGAGGACACCGUGCUUUCUGCGGAUGGAUUUAACGCACGGCUGGACGAUUUUGAGUUUUGUUUCUUGAUCAAACACAGUCAACGGGCUUUUUGAGUGUGCUGCUGUGCUUUUUGGAACAGACCAAAUCAUUGGAUGUGCAAUUCUGCACGGCCAGGCUGAACGAGUUCUGUGACAAAGUUGAGCAAGAGAGGGGCAACUCCAGUGAGAUAUAUGAAGAAGCAAUGCGCGCCUCCGGUGGUCCAAGUGUGCGCAGAGGCCAACGCACGGCGCAAGGCGAUCUCCGUGAAAUUUACCAAAAACUCCACAACAGCAUUCUGGACAGCAUUCUUUCCCAGACAAGGAAUCGAUUUCAGGACCAUGUUGAUGUUUCUCUCCCUUCUUGACCCCCAGCACUUUCAGACAUACAGAAAAAAUUCCCGACAGCAGCCUUCUCCAGCUUAACACAGAGCUACGGACCACUGUUGGGUCUUCCCCGACUUAAAACAGAACUGACUGUAAUGUAUGCUAUGGCUGAUUUUGAAGGGAAAAGUCCCGCUGAUCUACACGAUGUUCUUCUCAGCAAAGACCUGAGUGAGAGUAUGGGACAACUUUACGCCCUAGCCUGUUCGGCUGUGACUAUCCCGGUGUCCACUGCCUCUGUUGAGCGCUCAUUGUCAGCAUUAAAGCGCGUAAAAACGUACGCCAGAAACACGACCGGACAGACACGGCUUUCAGCAUUAGCCUCCAUGUCCAUAAAAGGCUCUACUCAUGGACCUGAAGCGCACAGAUCAACUGUAUGACAGAGCCAUGGAGGUUUUCCUGAGGAAAGAAAGAAGGAUGGAUUUUAUUUUCUAAUGAGCAGGAGAGGAGGAGAUCCAUGCUGGACAUUUAUGUUGGUGAGUAGAAACAUUUAUUAGUAUUGUUUUAAUGUUUUGUCAUUUUAUUUCGUUAAUAAUCAAGAAAUGGUAACGAAAUAAAAUGGCUAAAUGAAAUUAUUCUGUUUCUAUGCCAUUAAUGUUGUGUACAACGUGGUGUGUAAAGCUGCGCCAACAUUGUUUCGCGGUGCCAUUUUCUCCUAAACAAAUGCAAAUAAUGUGUUUGCUUUACUUAUUUAUUUUAUUGUCUCAUCUCUUAAAUCCAUCUUUCAUUUUUGAGAUUUGACAGUAUCCGUGGUCUUGCUUCCUACCCUCAAUUGGGAAUGCGAGUUUGAUUUCAAAGGCUCCGGAAAUUACAUGUCUUGACCAGCCACUGGUGUGUGUGUGUGUGUGUGUGUGUGUGUGUGUGUGUGAGAGAGAGAGAGAGAGAGAGAGAGAGAGAGAGAGAGAGAGAGAGAGAGAGUGAAAGAGAGAGGUUUCUCCAGCUGUGAUGUCAUAUUGAUGGUAUUUUAAGGUGUAUUAAUUUAGAUUGGAUUGAAUAGGAAAUCACCGAAGGCGCAGGGGUGGGAUGCACCGCCCUCCACUGGUUAAAUGCAUUGGGUUUUACCCUAUUACAUUUAAAUUUCAUGGUUAAUCAGUACAUGUUAAAAUCUAAGCUCAGCUCGGCAGUGACCUAAAAUACAUAAAUGUAAUUUUACUUACCAAAAAAAAUGAAGUGGAGACUCCUUGGACGCUCUAUUAGUGCAAUUAAUGCCACAGCAAGUCAUUUUGUCCAACAAUUGCACAAAUAAUAUCCAAAAAAAGAAUACACAAACACAGAGACUCACAAUCCCGGAACAGUUUCCAAGCCAGACCGAGGCUCUACUCACGUGGGUCUGAUGCUCAUUAAUUUUACAGAAUUUUAGGCUUUUAAUACACUUAAACAGAAGAGUGAGAAAAAAAUUCACCCCCCUCAGAGUUGUCAUGAGUGUAAACUAGAUCAUUUAAACCAAAAACAUGUUUUGGUACCAGGCUGUAAACAUGUUUAUAUCUGCUGUGAAAUUGGUAUUUUUAACAUGGGAGUCAAUUAGGAUUUGCUCUCUUCUGACACCAGCCCCUAGUGGAUGAGGGUGGAACUGCAAUUUUUGGUACUUCCGGGUUGGCCUCGAUUUUUGAGCCGCAUUGUGGGGGCUUGGUAGUUCCUUGUGUUGCCUUGGUAACAAUGACAGGAGUCUGCAUUAAUAAAGCAAUGUACAAUGUCACAUGACUCUUUUAAACUUUGAAUAACAUUUCUAUAUUAAAGUAUGUUGAUACAGUUGUGUCUAAAAUGUUGUUAAAUGUUGUUGCUAAGCACGUUGCAAUGGUAACGCAGAAUACAAUAUCAAAAUAAUACAAGACUCCUGGGACCAAGCAGGUUGAAUUGAUGUAUCAUAUGUGUGGGUGCAUAUUUCCUUUUAGGCAGAAGACGAUUGAAAACUCUCAGCCAAUGAGAGAGCAGCAAAGGAGGAGGGGGCGGUUCCUGCCUUUUGACUAGUGUUAAAAUGUCAGCUAUGCUGCUAGUUUUAAGUGUAUAGAGCUCAGAAAGAUAAGAAACAGCAGUAUGUUAUAGGCUCAAUAUUAAGCUUUUCACAUUCUUUUCAGUAACACUUGUUUGGGGAUAUACUUAUGCACUUGUGUUGCCAUGGUAACAGAUAACGCAUUUAAAAUUGAAUGCAAGAUUCCUGAGACCAAGCUGGUUGAUUUGAUGUGUUAUUUGUGUGGGUGCUGGAUCCUGCUUGGACAGAAAAUGGUUGAACACUCUCAACCAAUCAGAGAGCAGCACUGUUUUCCCGCCUUUUCCCUUGGCUGUUGGAGGCCUGCAGCUGUACUCCUGUUAAUGAGAGAAGCCGCUAAAUCUGUCCUUCAGAAGUGAAAUUGGACCUGUCAAACUUCUCAUCACCAUUCGAAAAGUACUGCACCGAUUUGAAAAAUUCAAAAAGCGUGAGCGGCAGAAGGCUUUGAUGGUCAUCUGUGUGAUUUUUUAUGUGCCAUUUACGUUUUGAUAUAAAAUUGUUGAAAUAGUUAAAAUUUUGAAGGAGUUGAAAAGGUUCAAAAAGUGUCCGGAAGCAGAAUAAGAAGAAGAAGAAAGAUAAACAGGAAAACAAUAGUUUGAGUGCUUAACAGCAUUCAAACAAACAUUAUCAUAAACAUUAUUGAGACGUCAUUUAUGAAAUACAAGUUAUUUUUGUUCACCAUUACUUCAACCAAAUAAUAAGAUGCAUGGAUUUGAGGAACCACACUGUCUCAUGCAGUCCUACAUGUGUAACACACACACACACUCAAACACACACUCAAACACACACACACACACUCAAACACACACAUACUGGUUUUUGUGGUAUAGCCAGACAUUUCUCUCAAACAGGCCCGGUGGUGGUUUACAUGGACCACCCUUUCCGAAGGUCCUAGACCAAUGGGAUGAAGAUAAAACCACUGCAAAAAAUCUGAAAAAAAUUUAGCUCACUUUAGGUCUUAAAUAUGACCUACACAACAUUUUUUACAGCACCCUGAC